rfam:Oryza glaberrima chromosome 1 Oglab01_0189_17, whole genome shotgun sequence.
AAUAAGUGCAGUCGUGGAGAUCCGUGUCCAACGUUUGACCGUUCGUCUUAUUUAAAAAAUUUAUGAAAAAAAACUAAAAAUAAAUAGUCACCCAUAAAGUAUUAUUCAUGUUUUAUCAUCUAAUAACAAUAAAAAUAUUAAUCACAAAAAAAUUUCAAAUAAGACGAACGGUCAAACGUUGGACAUGAAUAGUGCAAAACUACACUUAUU